UACGUAGGGGGCAAGCGUUAUCCGGAUUUACUGGGUGUAAAGGGAGCGUAAACGGCUGUGCAAGUCUGGAGUGAAAGGCAUGGGCUCAACCUGUGGACUGCUUUGGAAACUGUGCGGCUUGAGUGUCGGAGAGGCAAGUGGAAUUCCUAGUGUAGCGGUGAAAUGCGUAGAUAUUAGGAGGAACACCAGUGGCGAAGGCGGCUUGCUGGACGAUGACUGACGUUGAGGCUCGAAAGCGUGGGGAGCAAACAGG
rnacentral:rRNA from 1 species